UACCCAACUUGUAACCAUGCCU
rnacentral:piRNA from 1 species